GGGCCCAUAGUUCAAUGGUAGAAUGCGCCCCUGGCAGGGGUGUGAUUCGGGUUCAAAUCCCGGUGGGUCCA
rnacentral:tRNA from 1 species